GACGAACGCUGGCGGCGUGCUUAACACAUGCAAGUCGAACGGGAGUAUCGAAGAAGCUUGCUUUUAAGAUACUUUAGUGGCGGACGGGUGAGUAACGCGUGAGGAGCUGUCCUAUGCAGGGGGACAACAGUUGGAAACGACUGCUAAUACCCCAUAAGCCGAGAGGUAAAAGGAUUUAUCCGGCAAAGGAGGUACUCGCGUCCUAUCAGCUAGUAGGUUGGGUAACGGCCGACCUAGGCGAAGACGGGUAGCCGGCCUGGGAGGGCGAACGGCCACACGGGAACUGAGAUACUGUCCAGACUCCUACGGGAGGAAGCAGUGGGGGAUAUUGGGCCAUGGGGGAAACCAUGACCCAGCGCCGCCGCGUGGGGGAAGAAAUCCUUCGGGAUGUAAAGCCCUGUUGUAUGGGAAGAGCAGAAGACGGUACCAUACGAGGAAGCCCCGGCAAACUACGUGCCAGCAGCCGCCGCCG
rnacentral:rRNA from 1 species